GACCCCGUCGUUCAGCGGUUAGGACACCGGGUUUUCAUCCCGGCAACGGGGGUUCGAUUCCCCUCGGGGUCACCA
rnacentral:tRNA from 1 species